rnacentral:rRNA from 1 species
GUUAAGCGACUAAGCGUACACGGUGGAUGCCCUGGCAGUCAGAGGCGAUGAAGGACGUGCUAAUCUGCGAUAAGCGUCGGUAAGGUGAUAUGAACCGUUAUAACCGGCGAUUUCCGAAUGGGGAAACCCAGUGUGUUUCGACACACUAUCAUUAACUGAAUCCAUAGGUUAAUGAGGCGAACCGGGGGAACUGAAACAUCUAAGUACCCCGAGGAAAAGAAAUCAACCGAGAUUCCCCCAGUAGCGGCGAGCGAACGGGGAGCAGCCCAGAGCCUGAAUCAGUGUGUGUGUUAGUGGAAGCGUCUGGAAAGGCGCGCGAUACAGGGUGACAGCCCCGUACACAAAAAUGCACAUGCUGUGAGCUCGAUGAGUAGGGCGGGACACGUGGUAUCCUGUCUGAAUAUGGGGGGACCAUCCUCCAAGGCUAAAUACUCCUGACUGACCGAUAGUGAACCAGUACCGUGAGGGAAAGGCGAAAAGAACCCCGGCGAGGGGAGUGAAAAAGAACCUGAAACCGUGUACGUACAAGCAGUGGGAGCACGCUUAGGCGUGUGACUGCGUACCUUUUGUAUAAUGGGUCAGCGACUUAUAUUCUGUAGCAAGGUUAACCGAAUAGGGGAGCCGAAGGGAAACCGAGUCUUAACUGGGCGUUAAGUUGCAGGGUAUAGACCCGAAACCCGGUGAUCUAGCCAUGGGCAGGUUGAAGGUUGGGUAACACUAACUGGAGGACCGAACCGACUAAUGUUGAAAAAUUAGCGGAUGACUUGUGGCUGGGGGUGAAAGGCCAAUCAAACCGGGAGAUAGCUGGUUCUCCCCGAAAGCUAUUUAGGUAGCGCCUCGUGAAUUCAUCUCCGGGGGUAGAGCACUGUUUCGGCAAGGGGGUCAUCCCGACUUACCAACCCGAUGCAAACUGCGAAUACCGGAGAAUGUUAUCACGGGAGACACACGGCGGGUGCUAACGUCCGUCGUGAAGAGGGAAACAACCCAGACCGCCAGCUAAGGUCCCAAAGUCAUGGUUAAG